rnacentral:rRNA from 1 species
UACGAAGGGGGCUAGCGUUGUUCGGAAUUACUGGGCGUAAAGGGCGCGUAGGCGGUGUGUCAAGUCAGGCGUGAAAGCCCCGGGCUCAACCUGGGAACAGCGCUUGAGACUGGCACGCUCGAGUUCGGGAGAGGAUGGUGGAAUUCCCAGUGUAGAGGUGAAAUUCGUAGAUAUUCGCAAGAACACCAGUGGCGAAGGCGGCUCACUGGCCCGAUACUGACGCUGAGGUGCGAAAGCGUGGGGAGCAAACAGG